rnacentral:rRNA from 1 species
AUUGAACGCUGGCGGCAUGCCUUACACAUGCAAGUCGAACGGUAACGGGCCUUCGGGUGCCGACGAGUGGCGAACGGGUGAGUAAUAUAUCGGAACGUACCUUUCAGUGGGGGAUAACGUAGCGAAAGUUACGCUAAUACCGCAUAUUCUGUGCGCAGGAAAGCAGGGGACCUUCGGGCCUUGCGCUGAUUGAGCGGCCGAUAUCAGAUUAGCUAGUUGGUGGGGUAAAGGCUCACCAAGGCGACGAUCUGUAGCGGGUCUGAGAGGAUGAUCCGCCACACCGGAACUGAGACACGGUCCAGACUCCUACGGGAGGCAGCAGUGGGGAAUUUUGGACAAUGGGGGCAACCCUGAUCCAGCCAUGCCGCGUGAGUGAAGAAGGCCUUCGGGUUGUAAAGCUCUUUCGGCCGGGAAGAAAUCGUAUGGGCUAAUACCCUGUGCGGAUGACGGUACCGGCAUAAGAAGCACCGGCUAACUACGUGCCAGCAGCCGCCGUAAUAC